rnacentral:rRNA from 1 species
CGCAGGGAAACCGAGUCUUAAUUGGGCGUUAAGUUGCAGGGUAUAGACCCGAAACCCGGUGAUCUAGCCAUGGGCAGGUUGAAGGUUGGGUAACACUAACUGGAGGACCGAACCGACUAAUGUUGAAAAAUUAGCGGAUGACCUGUGGCUGGGGGUGAAAGGCCAAUCAAACCGGGAGAUAGCUGGUUCUCCCCGAAAGCUAUUUAGGUAGCGCCUCGUGAAUUCAUCUCCGGGGGUAGAGCACUGUUUCGGCUAGGGGGCCAUCCCGGCUUACCAACCCGAUGCAAACUGCGAAUACCGGAGAAUGUUAUCACGGGAGACACACGGCGGGUGCUAACGUCCGUCGUGAAGAGGGAAACAACCCAGACCGCCAGCUAAGGUCCCAAAGUCAUGGUUAAGUGGGAAACGAUGUGGGAAGGCCCAGACAGCCAGGAUGUUGGCUUAGAAGCAGCCAUCAUUUAAAGAAAGCGUAAUAGCUCACUGGUCGAGUCGGCCUGCGCGGAAGAUGUAACGGGGCUAAACCAUGCACCGAAGCUGCGGCAGCGACGCUGAUGCGUUGUUGGGUAGGGGAGCGUUCUGUAAGCCUGCGAAGGUGGCCUGUGAGGGUUGCUGGAGGUAUCAGAAGUGCGAAUGCUGACAUAAGUAACGAUAAAGCGGGUGAAAAGCCCGCUCGCCGGAAGACCAAGGGUUCCUGUCCAACGUUAAUCGGGGCAGGGUGAGUCGACCCCUAAGGCGAGGCCGAAAGGCGUAGUCGAUGGGAAACGGGUUAAUAUUCCCGUACUUGGUGUUACUGCGAAGGGGGGACGGAGAAGGCUAUGUUGGCCGGGCGACGGUUGUCCCGGUUUAAGCGUGUAGGUGUGUGUUCCAGGUAAAUCCGGUUCACUUUAACACUGAGGCGUGACGACGAGGCACUACGGUGCUGAAGCAACAAAUGCCCUGCUUCCAGGAAAAGCCUCUAAGCAUCAGGUAACAUCAAAUCGUACCCCAAACCGACACAGGUGGUCAGGUAGAGAAUACCAAGGCGCUUGAGAGAACUCGGGUGAAGGAACUAGGCAAAAUGGUGCCGUAACUUCGGGAGAAGGCACGCUGACACGUAGGUGAAGUGAUUUACUCAUGGAGCUGAAGUCAGUCGAAGAUACCAGCUGGCUGCAACUGUUUAUUAAAAACACAGCACUGUGCAAACACGAAAGUGGACGUAUACGGUGUGACGCCUGCCCGGUGCCGGAAGGUUAAUUGAUGGGGUCAGCGCAAGCGAAGCUCCUGAUCGAAGCCCCGGUAAACGGCGGCCGUAACUAUAACGGUCCUAAGGUAGCGAAAUUCCUUGUCGGGUAAGUUCCGACCUGCACGAAUGGCGUAAUGAUGGCCAGGCUGUCUCCACCCGAGACUCAGUGAAAUUGAACUCGCUGUGAAGAUGCAGUGUACCCGCGGCAAGACGGAAAGACCCCGUGAACCUUUACUAUAGCUUGACACUGAACAUUGAGCCUUGAUGUGUAGGAUAGGUGGGAGGCUUUGAAGUGUGGACGCCAGUCUGCAUGGAGCCGACCUUGAAAUACCACCCUUUAAUGUUU